UGAACGCUGGCGGCGUGCCUAAUACAUGCAAGUCGAGCGACCAGACGAGGAGCUUGCUCCUCUGACGUUAGCGGCGGACGGGUGAGUAACACGUGGAUAACCUACCUAUAAGACUGGGAUAACUUCGGGAAACCGGAGCUAAUACCGGAUAAUAUAUUGAACCGCAUGGUUCAAUAGUGAAAGACGGUUUUGCUGUCACUUAUAGAUGGAUCCGCGCCGCAUUAGCUAGUUGGUAAGGUAACGGCUUACCAAGGCAACGAUGCGUAGCCGACCUGAGAGGGUGAUCGGCCACACUGGAACUGAGACACGGUCCAGACUCCUACGGGAGGCAGCAGUAGGGAAUCUUCCGCAAUGGGCGAAAGCCUGACGGAGCAACGCCGCGUGAGUGAUGAAGGUCUUCGGAUCGUAAAACUCUGUUAUUAGGGAAGAACAAAUGUGUAAGUAACUAUGCACGUCUUGACGGUACCUAAUCAGAAAGCCACGGCUAACUACGUG
rnacentral:rRNA from 1 species